rnacentral:rRNA from 1 species
GAUGAACGCUGGCGGCGUGCUUAACACAUGCAAGUCGAACGAGAAGUGAAGACGGAAACCUUCGGGCGGAAGUCUUUAUUUCGAGUGGCGGACGGGUGAGUAACGCGUGGGUAACCUGCCUCAUACAGGGGGAUAACAGUUGGAAACGACUGUUAAUACCGCAUAAGACCACAGCACCGCAGGGUGCGGGGGUAAAAACUCCGGUGGUAUGAGAUGGACCCGCGUUCGAUUAGCCAGUUGGCGGGGUAACGGCCCACCAAAGCGACGAGCGAUAGCCGAUCUGAGAGGAUGACCGGCCACAUUGGGACUGAGACACGGCCCAAACUCCUACGGGAGGCAGCAGUGGGGAAUAUUGCACAAUGGGGGAAACCCUGAUGCAGCGACGCCGCGUGAGUGAAGAAGUAUUUCGGUAUGUAAAGCUCUACCAGCAGGGAAGAAAAUGACGGUACCUGAGUAAGAAGCCCCGGCUAACUACGUG